UUGAACUGCUUCCUGGCAGACCUCUAUGAACUUUCACACUUUCAUUCCAGGCGUCUAUAAAACUUUGUGAAAUUGAAAGUUUUACAUUCUGCAGUGAUCAUUUUCAUUGGGAGAGCAGUUCUAACAACAGGAAGGAACUCUAUACCCCACCCGAGCUAAACAAUGUGGAGUAACCCACAUGGAUAACACAGCUGCCUGCUCUGGUUUCUGCAGAGAGAAACAAACAAAAAAAAAGAAAAUCGAGAAAAGGGAAGGACAGCCUCAAGGAGGAGAAGAAGAUGGUGGUGAAGAGGGAAAAGCUUUUUUACCUUCCUAUCUUGCACUCUCUCUUCUCAGUCCCUCCCGUGGUGGAAAAAAGCUUUAGGGUAUUUUUAGCUUUUUCUUCCCCUGCGGCAAGAUGGAGAGGCUGACCCCGUGCUGCCCUCAA